rnacentral:rRNA from 1 species
GCUAAACGCGAAGAACCUUACCCACCUUUGACAUCCCGUGCUACCUAGGGAAGAUCUAGGGUCCCUUCGGGGCGCGGAGACAGGUGCUGCAUGGCUGUCGUCAGCUCGUGUCGUGAGAUGUUGGGUUAAGUCCCGCAACGAGCGCAACCCUCGCUUCUAGUUGCCAGCAUUUAGUUGGGCACUCUAGAGGAACUGCCUGCGCCAAGCAGGAGGAAGGCGGGGAUGACGUCAAGUCCUCAUGGCCCUUACAGGUGGGGCUACACACGUGCUACAAUGGCGGUGACAAAGGGAUAAUCCCUAAAAGCCGUCUCAGUUCGGAUUGUCCUCUGCAACUCGAGGGCAUGAAGUUGGAAUCGCUAGUAAUCGCAAAUCAGCAUGUUGCGGUGAAUACGUUCCCGGGUCUUGUACACACCG